GCCAGGAGGUGAGGCGCCGGUGGAAUGCGGUGCUCAGGGCUGUAGGAGCCUGCACCUUCCUGGCCCAGCCCAGGUCAGGAGGCUUCGGGCUGCAGGCAUUGACUGGAUGUGGACCACGUGCCUUGCAGGUGCUAUUUUGGAGGUGUUCAGAGACCAGCAGGGGAGACAAUUAUAGCACAAGGAGGAACGCUCCGGAGCAGGCGGGUCUUCAAAGUGUUCUGAGACCCGGGGAACAUAAUCAUUCCAGCUGAAGGUGGAGAGACCACACAGAGGAGGACAGAAGCUUCCUGAAGGCAGCAGCUGCUGAUCUUACUUAUUCUCUGCUGUAUCCCCAGAUCAACCACUAGGGGGCGCAGAGGACAACUGGCUUCAAACAAAGGU